ACCCUGUCCUAUGUGGACGUCGGCACUGGGAAGUGCACAGCCAGAGGACAACACAUCACACACAAGAAACAGUUGUGCUCAUGUGAUGGGGGCCUCAGCACUAGGAAGGAGUGGACUGUUGGCGCACGCAGCAGCUUGAAUAAAUCUGAAAGUCACUACGCUGCGUAAGAGAAGCCAAAUAAAGCGCAUGCUGUGUACAGAGGGUGUCGAGAAUGCCUCCUACGUGACGGAAAGCAGAUCCGUGGUUCCCUGCAGACUGGCAGGAGCAGAUUCCAAAGGCACAGGAAGAAGCUUGCAGGCAGCUGCUCCCAACCCCAGAACCUUUGCUGUCUUGGGACGGAUCACCACUGCAAGAGGGGAAGUUGCUACUGUGAUGAAUUCUGCCAUGUGGCACCAGACUGCCACCCAGACCACAGUGUCCUCUGCAACCCUGGUAACUCACAUACAGGCCCGAUUCCACCGACAGCAAAGCUGGAUGCUAUGGCUGGCAGAGGCAAACCCUUUGCCUGC
rnacentral:misc_RNA from 1 species